CCUUCAGAAUGCAGCACCUAUAGACAGAUGUAUGAAGUGUCAAUUUUACAUUCUGGGAUCUAUUUUUGAGGAGUUGGAUUCUUUUUUUUUUUUUUUUUUUAAUCCUUCAGAAUGCACCACCUUAUAGACAGAUGUAUGAAUUGUCAAUUUUACAUUCUGGGAUGUUCUUUGGUCUACUGGUGGUUUGUUCUAUUCCUAAAUAGGAAAAACGUUUAUAAAAUUAAAUAAAAGAUUAAGCACAAUUUAAAUUAAAGAAGGCCAGUGAUAACAGUUUGUCAUGCAACAACAGCUAUUGUUCUCACUAAAUUCCAUUACAGAAUUACACAGUCUGUUAUCUCUUUAGUAAUGAGCAACUAACUGCACAUGCAUUACUAUUAUUCAGUUCUGUUGCACUGAGUGUGUGCAAUUUUAUCAUUACAGUGAAUAAAUGAAUAAGUUAAUAACAAUCAGUAGCUUGAAGGGACAAAGCAUGGGCCAGUGACGAACGUGUCUUGGAAGAAUUAUUGAUUUAACCGGUUCCACUCCCAUGAUGCUCCUCUUAAGACAAAAAUCCUGGCUCUGGCAAGUUUGGUUAAGAACACAGACAGACACAAUCACAUUUCUGUCCUGGGUUUCUGAGGCUUUAACUCUUGUGCCCUUUCUUUAAAAAGAAUGAAUAGCAUCUGCAUUAAUUUGUGAGUUAAUAAAUAAAUGAAUAAAGUAGGAUCGAGUUCAUUGUUCACUGGUAUGACAUUUCCUUGAAAAGAGACGACUCUAACUCUGCACAAGGGAGGCUCAGAGAGGCAGGCGGUUAUCUGUAUGGGUGAAGCAUUGGGAUGGAAGCCUCACAGACAGCUCUGGCUCUUGAUGCAGAUGGUGGAUUCAAACGUAUCUGGGUUUGUUUUUUUAAUCUUUUUUUUUUUAAUUAAAGUAUAGUUGAUUUACAAUGUUGUGCCCAUUUCUGCUGCACAGCAAAGCAACCCAGUCAUACAUAUACACACAUUCCCUCUUCUCAUAUUAUCUUCCAUCAUGGUCUGUCCCAAGAGACCAGCUGAAGUUCCCUGUGCUGUACAGCAGGACCUCAUGGCUUAUCCGUUCUAAAUCUAAUCGUUUGCACCUACCAACCCCAAAUCCCAGCCCAUCCCACUCCCUCCACUGCCCCCUUGGCAUCCACGAGUCUGGUCUCUUUGUCUGUGGGUCCAUUUUUCCAUUUUGCAUAUAUGUUCAUUUGUCUCUACACAAAUGCCAUGUUUUCGAUUCCACAUAUAUGUGAUAUUAGGUAACAUUGUAAAAUUCGUCCUUGAGAUAAUUAGAUCAAAGGAGAUGUGACUUUUCUGCCAGUUGAAGCAAGGGACAUGGCCCAAAGUGUAAGAUUAAUCUAAACCCGCUCUCCCUGCCUCCAUUAGCAUAUCGGGGCACAUUGGAAAUCUAGGAUGUUUUAUUCUUUUUAGCAUUUGCUUUCUACUCCCCAGAGUGGCUCCUCGCGGGUAAACUGGGUGGUCAGGGAGUCUCUGGGUAAGAAGCUUACAGGCCUGUAAGGGUGGCACACAACGUUUGCAUCCUUGGGUGGGUAGUUUCCCCAUGGGUGUUCAUUGUGUUACCAAAAAAUGGAUAAUUGGCUACAUCCGAACACAAAAUUUAAAAAGACCAGAAACAGGAAUGUGUUACAUACCAAGGAUGAGGAUGUGAUCAGUCAGGGCGACUGUCGAACUGUCUAUAUUUGAAUGUCAUCCUAAUGAACUCUGAGGUUCAUUACCAAGUACAUCAGAGAUGUUGCCUCUUUAUGGCAAAGGCCAUUUAGACGGAGAAUAGUCAUCGUCAGUGUUCUUGCUCUGGAUCAGUGAUGAGUUCUAGUUUGUUUAUUUAAUUAAGAGAAAAAACUAAUGAAAUGAAUGAAUUAAUACCUAAAUAGCAAGUCAAUCUAGGCGGAGAACCAUGAAGCAGCGGAGAGAAUUUUGCAGUUUUCUUCUUUUGGCCAAGGGAUAUGCUUCUUUUAUUUAACACGAAAAUCUGUAUACCUUGUCUUAUUUUAAAAAUUUAAAGUUAUAAAAGAAUGUAUAUUCAUUUCCCCUCCCCCCCUUUUUCGGUGCUGUUUGCUUUGUACUUCGCAGAACGGACAGGCGCUGAUAAUCAUGCCGCAAUGAUCAAGACCCACAUGGUUCAAGGAUGUGUGCCCCACAGCUGAUUAAAUUAUUCCCCAGUCAUGGAGAGCCGCCACCUUGUUCCUCGGAGAAAGGGCCAUGUCAUGUCAUAAUGGCUGCACCUUGUUUGUUUCCGUCCUUAUUUAAUGAUGAAGAUCUUGGCUCUUACCUUUGUGGCCAAGGAGAGCAGAGAGAUUGGGGAAAGGUAGCAGUGUGUGCCCUUGGAGAAGCCACCGGGACCCUCCACGUUCCACUGCCAUCGUCCUUAAAAGGGAAGUCAAUUUCAUUCAUUCUGCAGACACCUUCAAAGGGCUCUGAGCUGGGCACGUGAGUGAGCACAUGACCCCAGCGUGGCACUCUUGGACCCCGGGGUGCGUGCGCAUUGUGUCACACGUCCUGCGCCCCCAAACCCGAGAGGUGCUGCCAGUUGUCCCUUCGCGGAGGGUCCUUCCUUUCACCGACUGAGUCUUGGGCUGGAGCCCGUGACUGCCCGGCUUGGCCUCAGUUUCCCCGUCUCUAGACCUAGAGCAAGGCUGAUGACCCCAGGUCCCCCAUCGCACCGUGUCCGCGCGGAGGGGAGGAAAGACCUCUCCCCGUUUCACUGCGGUCCUGACCCUCCUCUUUUCUGUCCUUCCGGACCCCUGAGCCUCAGUUGCAAUUUGGGGGCCAGUUUGAUUUUCUUUUCCCUCUGAUCUGAGGCGUCUCCUACCAGCACGUGUUUUUUUUUUUUUUUUUUUUUUUUUUUUUUUUUAACUCAGCACAAGGAGAGUCCGGCGAA
rnacentral:lncRNA from 9 species